rnacentral:lncRNA from 1 species
AAAAUCCUCAAAUUGAGAACAACACAUCACAUACCGAUCGUGUUCUCUUGUUCUCCUCUGCUGCUCCUCACCAAUCACUGAUCGUCUUCUACUGUUCUGCUCGUCGAACGUCGUCGUCGUCACCAGUCAUCGCCGUCAGUCUUCGUCGUGUAUAAGGUUUCUCCAGUCAUCGUCGUCACCAUCAGUCUUCGUCUGUGUAUAAGGUAUCUCUCUCUCUCUCUCUCUCUCGUCAGUCAUACAGUAUGACUCAUACUCAUAUUUAUUUUAGGUUUUUAAAGUGUUAUUUUUUACUGUGCUGUAAAAAAUAGACCCAUUUUGCUCUUAUUGAUGGCUGGUAGAGGCUGAAAUCUGGUAUGUAGUCUAAUUUUAAAGUUUUUUUUUCCCAUAACAGUCUGAUGGAAUCUGUUGCUAGUUCUGUUGUUGGUAGUUCUGUUUCUAAUGAAGGGGAAUCGAGGGAUCAAAAUACAAACAAUCCUCUUUGUAGUUAUGUUACAAAAUUUGAGAAGAGUGAGGUGGGGGGGAAUACUUUGUGGCAGUGUAAUUUUUACAAUGUUAUCAAAAAGAGUUCAUACUGGGGUUAGGGGUCAUUUGUUGAAGUUGAACAAUGGAAUUGGAGCUUGUAAGAAAGUUACAAACCAACUAUGAAGAAAUUAGAGGAAGAAGCUAAAACGAAAAUGAGAGACAAUGCGCCAAAGAAAAUACCUCUACCCCCUUGUACUAGAUCAAGUGGUUUUAUUCUAGAAGGUUAUGAGUAAGGCUGUAAAAUGAGCAAACAAUUCGGGCUCGAUUCGUACUCGCUAUACUAAAAGUUCGAUUCGAGCUCGACUCGAAAUAUAAAUGAAUCACAAAUUUUAAAGUUCGAUAAAUUACAACCUCCUCAGAUUGUAAUUUUCUAUUGAUACUCGGAUCAUAUUCCUUUGAAAAGUUCAAACUGUUCGGGCUCGAUUCGGAAUUGUACUCGACUCGGAAACUAAAUAAGCCUCAAUCAAACCUUAUUUUAUACUCAAUAAAUUUUGUGAACCAAAUAUGCGCAACUCAAUACUCGGAUCAACUCGGUUCGUUUACACCCUUAGUUAUGAGCCACAAAAACAAAGAACAAGUGAAACUACAUCACCCCUUGAGAAGGCCUUUGAUAGGAAUAGGCGUGAUCAAUUGCAUGCGGAAAUUGCUAGGAUGUUUUAUUCCGGGGGUUUGCCAUUUCAUUUGGCAAGAAACCCUUAUUAUGUGAGCUCCUAUCAAUUUGCCGCGAACAUUGCUUUGUCUGGAUAUUUGCCACCGGGAUAUAAUUUGUUGAAGACGACUUUACUUCAACAAGAAAGGAUAAAUGUUGAGAGAUUGCUCCUACCGGUUAAAGGAACAUGGAGAGAGAAAGGUGUAAGCAUUGUGAGUGAUGGAUGGAGUGACUCGCAAAGAAGGCCUUUGAUCAACUUUAUGGCGGUGACGGAGGGUGUGGCUAUGUUCCUUAAAGCCGUUGAUUGUUCCGGUGAGACCAAGGAUAAGUAUUUCAUUUGUGAGUUGAGGAAAGAAGUGAUAGAGGAGGUUGGCCCUGACAAUGUGGUUCAAGUAAUCACAGAUAAUGCUAAGAAUUGUGCUGGAGCGGGUCUUCUCAUUGAAGGUUUAUAUCCUAAUAUCUCUUGGACACCAUGUGUGGUCCACACUCUCAACCUUGUCUUGCAAAAUAUUUGUGCGGCAAAGAAUGUUGAAAAUAAUCAAGUAACUUAUGACGAGUGUUCUUGGAUCACGAUCAUUGCGGAUGAUGUUUCAUUCAUCAAGAAUUUUAUCAUGAACCAUUCCAUGAGGUUGGCUAUCUUCAAUGAAUUCGUUCCUUUGAAGUUGCUCUCGGUUGCAAGUACGCGUUUUGCUUCCGUAAUGGUUAUGCUUAAAAGAUUCAAGCUUCUUAGAGCUAGUCUUCAACAAAUGGUUAUAAGCUCAAGGUGGAAUUCUUAUAGAGGAUGAUACGGAAAAAGAAAAGUUUGUGAAAGAAAAGGUCCUAGAUGACAUUUGGUGGGACUCUAUUGAUUAUAUACUUGCCUUUACCUCUCCCAUGUAUGAUAUGUUAAGGAUUUGUGACACUGAUAAGCCUUGUCUUCAUUUGGUCUAUGACAUAUGGGAUACAAUGAUAGAGAAGGUAAAGUGCGCAAUAUAUAGGCAUGAAAGAAAGCGGCAUGAUGAGAUAUCUACCUUCUAUGAAGUUGUUCACACAAUUCUCGUUGAUCGGUGGAACAAGAACAACACUCCACUUCAUUGCCUAGCGCAUUCCUUAAAUCCAAGGUGACUUCUAACUUCACUUCAUAAAUAGUGUGAACAUUAUGUAUUCUCUUAAUCAUAAACUAAAAUUCAGCUUUUCUUUGUAUUACAUAGGUACUAUAGUGAUGAAUGGCUUCAUGAGGGUCCUAGUAGAGUGCCUUCGCAUAAAGAUAUUGAGGUUGCAUGAGAAAGAAUGAAAUGCAUGAAAAAGUAUUUUCCUAAUUCGGCGGAGCGCACAAGGGCUAACUUGGAAUUUGCCAAUUUCUCAAGCAAGGCGGGAGAGUUUGAGGAUAGUGAUUCCAGUCAUGAUGGGUAUGCAAUGGACCCUAAGAGUUGGCAGGUUAAUUAUGGUGCAAGUGAACCUUUGCUUCAAAGCAUAGGCUUAAAGCUACUUGUGCAACCUUCUUCAUCAUCAUGUAGCGAGAGAAAUUGGAGUACUUACUCAUUUGUGCACUCGGCUAAAAGGAAUAUGAUGGCUCCAAAACGUGUGGAAGACUUGGUUUACAUUCAUAGCAACCUCCGCCUCCUAUCAAGAAGAUCUCGGCAAUACAUGGAAGGACAAACGAAGAUGUGGGACAUUGCCAGAGACGCUUUUGAUUUAUUUGAGGAUGUUGGAGAGCUUGAAUUGCACAACUCUCUCUUGAUGAACCGGAGUUGGAGGCCAUUGUUUUUACAGACGAUGGUGAUGACUGAUGAGGGUGAAAUUAUUAGCGAUGAAGCAAUGGAAGUUUAGUGAAAUAGAAUGAUGAUUGUAAAUUGAUUGUAAAUUUGUAGUAGUUGGCAGUUGACACUUGGGCAAUAUUUUGGAUGGAUAAGGCCAAUGUUUGACUUUUGAUGAUGUUAAUUGCUCUUUUGUUUUUGAAAUGCUGAACUUGUGUAAUGACUAAUGAAAUUAAAUAUAUAAUAUUUAUAUUUUUAUAUUCAACGUAUCCCCCAACGUAUCGUAUCCAAGUUUUUGGAAAAAUCACGUAUCCGCGUAUCCGUAUUCGUGCUUCAUAGGUUUACUAAGAUGUGUGUUUUCCUAUCUUCAAUCUUCACUUCUAUUCUCAAAAAAACCAAAACCCUUUGCAAAGUAGUAUCAAUGGGAUUUAUGUAAAUUUACUAUCACAGUAUAUCCAAAACCUUGUAGACUUGACAUAAAUCCUGGAUAAGGUGACGCCUAGGCGUCAAGUCUCUAGAUAGACCGCAAGGCGAGGUCAUGUCUUGGUGAAAGUUACCUCAACAAACAAAGAUGAAUUGUCCAAAGACAUCAUCUAGCAGAUUCGAACAAUAACUCGGACCCCAUAAAUGGACAUAUCGAUGAAUUCCGAGCGUGGUGGUACAAGGUGAUGAUCGGAAAACUCAUGCCGGAGUGAGGAGGCGCGUGUCAUCACCGGCGAGCCUAUUCAUCUUAGCAACUAGGUUUCAGUCCUGUGUGGUUCUGUCAAUUAGUAAAAAGCUGAAUCGACGAGUUCUUUUCCUUUAACUUAGAACAUGGGUUUAUCUCGAAAGUUGUGACUUAUUUUGUAAUUCACUACCACCACAUGUAGGUGAUGGAAGUUUGUGGAUAGUAUUGCUUUGUUUAUUAAUUGUGUUGUGUCACUUUAAUAAAUAACUCCAAAUGAAGAACAACUGGCAGUAACUUGUCCAUUUGACCAGAAUUUACAUAUUGCUAUUAAUCUAAAAAAGUUUAUCUUGAGAUCUAGUUGGAAAUAGCCUUUAAUAAUAUCAGUAAAUAAAAUAAUAUCUUUAUUUACUGAUAAAUUUGUUUCUAAUAAAAUAAUUAAAAAAUAUUAAUUUCAUGUCCUAUUAAGGUAUACACACAUACUUUUCUUUAAAAAUCAAAGUUUAUUGUGUGUUUUAAAUGGUAUUUAGUAAUCUUUAUUAGGAAAUGGCAACAUAUUUGUGAGUAACUUUCGUAUGUUUAAUAUAUUUUUGAAGCAAAACAUGUAUGUGUAUAUAUAUAAUUAUAAAUGCAUAAAUUAAUAUUAUAAACGACUUAUCGCCUUAUGGACGCCUAAGCGGACGCCUUAUCUCCUAGACGUCCAGGCGUCUGGCCACCGAUUCGCCUUGUCUUAACACGCCUGGAGGUAUAUUGUUUGCACCCUUAACAAAACAAUUUUUUUGGUAGGGACAAUAAACAGCUUAAGGAUAGAUAUUACCCGUGUCAAUCUGUCUAUCGAUUCAGAUAAUUUUUUCCUAACAGAAGAAUUUUUGACCGGGUCGAUUUGACCGUUUUAGAAACUUUCAAACCAAAACUAAUAAGAAAAAAAAAGUAACAGGAUCUGUUUCCUAUUUCAAAUAUUUCUUUCCAUGUGCUGGAUAGGUAUGCAGUCGUCCAAAAGAAGUUUCUUUUUUAUGUCAUUUCAUACUUUGUCAAAUCGGCCCACCAAGCUUCCGAGUUCUGACAGCUGUCAUUAUCCUUCCAUCAUAUUUUUAAGAUUGUGAUAAUAUACACUCUCUUGAGAUGCCAAGGAUGUGGGACUCUGAGUGUAGUGAGAUUUUUUGUACUCUUAUUUGAUAUCUGCUUCUUAAACAUUGCAUUUUAAAUCAUUGAGUUUUUUCAGCACUGUCAAAUAUUUGCAUUUCAAACCUCACAGAAUCUUAUUCGACGAGGCAAAUUUGAUGAGAAUGUCAAAUUAAUUACUUUAAGGUUCAAUUUGCAAGCAAAAAAUAUUAAAUUAAUGUUUAAAUUAAAAUUUUGUGGAAACAUCAAGGUUUAUCUUACAAUAGCCUAAAGAUUAAAGAUGCCAGAGAAGAAGCUUGUCAAAUAUGCUUUAAAAUUAUUUACCGGGAAAAAAAGUAUGCUUUAGAAUUAAAAGCAGCAUACAAUACCUUGUCUUCUGUUGCGGUGUAUGGAAUAAAUAUAUAUGUAUCAUGCCUCUGUUAAUUUUAAGCGAGGAACAAUAUUCAUUGACUGGAGUUCCUGGAAGGAUGAGAGAUGAGAGAGAAUUUAGGAUUUGACACCACUAAAAUAAAAUACAUGUAGACAAUCACAUUACACGAACAACUGAUUAAUUUCAGGUAUUCACUCUUAAGCCAUAUCAACAUAUACAACCUCCGAGGUCAUAUAUUGUUAUCUUCAAUUCCAACAUACUUGAAAUGUAAAAAGAUAUAAAGAAGCUGGAAGCAAGUAAUAGGGAUUACCAUAUUAUUUUUAAAAAAAUUUAGAAUUAGGUAUACUGCAAUCCAACAGAAAAAUUAAUCUGAUUGGAGACUGAACCGAGAAAAGUUUGGAGAAAAUGUGUUAAGAACUAAUUCAUCUAAAAGUUAAAGUUGUUAGAAAGAGGCCCCAAUAAUAUAUAUCAAGCUAAAACAAUUCAUAUGCAUCCAGAAUCAUCAAAGGGCAAGAUCUUGUACAAAAUACACACCCAAAGCUCAGCUUUCAUGUUAAGCAACCAAUUCAUCUAGAAGCUUAAGCAGUUAGAAAGGAGUCCCAAUUAUGAAUAUCAAGCUAACGAAAAGCCCCAAUAAUGUGAAUGAAGCUAAUGAAAAGCCCAAAAAUGUAUAUCAAGCUAACGAAAAAGUGAUGAACCAAAAAAAUAAGGUGUCGCUUUACAUGAAUGCAACAAUUUAAACAAAAUGUGACGAUAUUGGAAAUCAAAAGAGUACAAAUGCAGAAUUCCCAUAAGCAAAUUACCAUACUAACCUGGAAUAAAAGCUUGCAUGCAUAUGGAAGUUUCAUGGUGGAGAUAUUUUCCCCAUCCUUGCAUGUAGAACAAAUGCCAGUUUUCAGCUUAUAGUUGUAAUAUCCUAGCAAACCACAUUUACUGCAAACCUGUAGCAGAACAUGGAUGUUGAAGGUACAGCAGGAUAAAGAAACCACAUAUUGCAAUGCAACAACAAAAUUGUCCAGGUUAAACACAAAAAGUCAAACAUGAGAUGAGUGAUAAUCUUUUAUCAUAACAAGCAGACAUGAUAUAUAUAUAUAUAUAUAUAUAUAUGUACUUCCGACGCCCCAAUUUGGUAGUCUCAAAUCUUCAAUUGUAUGUACUUCCGACGACCCAAUUUUGCAGUCCCCAAUCUUCAAUUGACUUGAUGCAGACUUAGAAAGUAAUGCUAUAGGUGAAGAAAUUUGAGUACUGCUUCAAUUUAAAUUCCAUUCCCAAAGUUCUUUUUUCAAUUUAAAUUCCAUUCCCAAAGUUCUUUUUUCAAUUUAAAUUUCAAUUGUAUGCCAGUUCUUAUUAGAACUUUCUAAAGAACUAGCUUAACUGAGAGCUUUAUUUUCUAUUAUGUAUUCAUACUCAGUAAUUUAAACCUGUUAAUGCAUUUAUAUUUCUUUCUAAAGCGUAACAAUUGCAUUUAUCAAUAUAUGAGUUAAAACUAUUUGAAUAGAAUAGGUUAGAUUUGUAACCUAUAUCAGAUUCAUAUUAAUUAAAGUUCCCCUAAUUUCUAUGUACUUGUGUGCUUAGAAAAUUUUGUAUAAACUAUCCCUAAUAAAAAAAGACCUCAAAGGAACAACAUAGCAGCAGAGCACUCUACUCUAUUUUGUUAGCACAAGGAGCGAAGCAGCAGAGUUGAACAAUUUGCAAUCAGCUGGCAUAUCAGUUAAGUUAAAAGGGACAAAGAGGGAACCAUAGUGAUAAAGUUUCUCUCAAUGUUGUUUUUACAAGUCCAGUUCGAUCUGUUUGAUAAAGAAUACUCCCUGAAAGCAAAGGGAUUAAUUUUCAAAUCUUAGGAAACAUGUCUUAACUUUAUAAGCUCUGAACUCUCCAGGUGGCAGACAUAUCUACUUGGGAAUUGCAUAAAAAUUUCCCAACAAAUAGAUGGAAUAAAUAGUCGGAAGACUAAUGACAUAAGCAUUUGUCAGAAACACUAUGCUUAUUAAAAACGAACAAGAGCCCUCAUACCAACUUGUCACGAACUGAGUUCGUGAUCUGAAAAUCUUUUUACUGAAUUAAUACAUUUGAGGAGAGAAAGAAAAGAAUACAGAGAGAAAGAGAGAUUGAUAGAUUUGGAAGGAGAAUGGAGAGAUUCAGGCUAUGAGAGAGAGUUCUUAAAGAGAAGAGGAUAGAAAUUUCAUUAAAAAGACAUUUGAGAGUUUUUCACAAUCUUCAGCAUACUUCUACUCAAACUAUUACAUCUAUCUAUAGACUAUCACUAUAGCAGAUUGU